CGGCGGACGGGUGAGUAAUGCCUAGGAAUCUGCCUGGUAGUGGGGGACAACUUUUCGAAAGGAACGCUAAUACCGCAUACGUCCUACGGGAGAAAGCAGGGGACCUUCGGGCCUUGCGCUAUCAGAUGAGCCUAGGUCGGAUUAGCUAGUUGGUGAGGUAAUGGCUCACCAAGGCGACGAUCCGUAACUGGUCUGAGAGGAUGAUCAGUCACACUGGAACUGAGACACGGUCCAGACUCCUACGGGGGGCAGCAGGA
rnacentral:rRNA from 1 species